AGGCCUUGGCUGAUUGCAAAAUU
rnacentral:miRNA from 1 species